GAUAAUUUACUGCUGGGCACUGUGAUACUUUCACCUCAUAGUUAUCGAGGUUCCUGAUCUGCAUUAGGAGAGUCUAUUAGGACUUGCGAAAUAUCAUAAUUUGUGGCUGUGGCCCUAACCCACUCAGACACACAACACUACUGCUUCCAUGCGUAGCGCGUUGGUCCAAAUCAAAUUGUUAUCAGAGCCAAAGUCAUACCAGAGAGGGGAUCUAUCAAUUUUUAGUCAUAUAGAAUGGACC
rnacentral:lncRNA from 1 species